rnacentral:lncRNA from 1 species
AGCUAUUUGUAUUUUUUCCGCUAUCACAACUUUCACCGCUAUUACACGCUAUAGCGCCGCUAAGUUGCAUUUGUUAUGAUAAAUUUCACCGCUAUUACGUGCUAUAGCGCCGCUAUGGCAAAAUUUUCUCAAUCCGAUUCUCAAAACUCCAUCUUAGACUAAAUUAUCAUUUAUUGGUUAGAACUAAUUUGGUAUUUUGGAUAAUAAAGUUUCAUGAACCAUGUUAUAAUGUCAUAUUAGUAUUUAGUAAUGUUAUCUAGACUUAUAAAAACAUAUUUUUAUUCAUCAAAAUUCAUAUUUACCAUGUCUUUUUUAUCAAUUACUCGUGUUUUUCAUGUAUUUUUUAUAAAAACGCUAUCUGUCAUAGCGCCGCUAUAGCACCGCUAUAGCUGCAUAGCUGUUGAAAAAAAGUUGCCGCUAUUUUAAACUUUGCUUGGUAUGCAUGACGAUAUUUUUUUAUUAGGUUAGGGUACUGUCUCUGUGUGUUUUUCUGGAAUACUUCUUCCACCAAAGGGCUACCUUUGCCUUGACGGUCAUGUAAACCAUCUCAUUAUCUCCGGCCAUCUAGUUUUUGAAGAGUCCUCUUUUCCUUUUUUUUUUUUGAUGAGGAUCAUUUUUCCACACGAGCGACAUUUGAUAAAAAAAUCCUUGGUUGAUCUUGGUCGCGUGUGCUCCGUCACCGUGUUUGCCACAAAGCCAUGUACGGCUCCUGGUGCCCUGGACUCACCACCCCUGUUGGGCCUUUGCCAGCCAUUGGUUCCUAGCUCUGUGCCCGUGCUCAGACGAUGGGCCUCCUUCAACGCCUGUUGGGCCGCCGUCGUGUUCGCCUCACAGUCACAGGCCACGGUCUGUGGGCCCUGCACUGACUUCCACCACGAUGCUCUGGUGCCCAGGCCGACAAGAUUAGUUCUCAAUGCCUAACAUGUUCACAUUAACUAGAUUAGAGAUCCUAUGGUCACGUUAACUAGAUUAGAGAUCCUGUGUUCUAACCCCUAGUUCUCUAGUAUUGCGGCAUCAGAGGAAUAAAGUGUCCACAUUAAAUAGCCUAGAAAUUAAGUAAGAGAUCAUCAUAAUUUUCUUAGACAAAUAAUCAAUAGUGCCCCAAUUACUAUUAAAAUUAUGCCACUCAAGUAGCCAUUAGCUUGAAAAUUAAACAAUGCCUAAUUUUCUAAUAGGCUACAAAUUAGCCCAAAUAAUAAUAGUAAUGAUAAUGCACAUUCAAUCAGGCAAAUUUUAGCAAUUAUGUCCACUAAACAUUAUGACUUAUUUAAAUACUCUUCUUUUGUGAUGAAAGAAGAAUUAUAUU